GAUGAACGCUGGCGGCGUGCCUAAUACGUGCAAGUCGAGCGAACGGACGAGAAGCUUGCUUCUCUGAUGUUAGCGGCGGACGGGUGAGUAACACGUGGAUAACCUACCUAUAAGACUGGGAUAACUUCGGGAAACCGUAGCUAAUACCGGAUAAUAUUUUGAACCGCAUGGUUCAAAAGUGAAAGACGGUCUUGCUGUCACUUAUAGAUGGAUCCGCGCUGCAUUAGCUAGUUGGUAAGGUAACGGCUUACCAAGGCAACGAUGCAUAGCCGACCUGAGAGGGUGAUCGGCCACACGGGAACUGAGACACGGUCCAGACUCCUACGGGAGGCAGCAGUAGGGAAUCUUCCGCAGUGGGCGAAAGCCUGACGGAGCAACGCCGAGUGAGUGAUGAAGGUCUUCGGAUCGUAAAACUCUGUUAUUAGGGAAGAACAUAUGUGUAAGUAACUGUGCACAUCUUGACGGUACCUAAUCAGAAAGCCACGGCUAACUACGUG
rnacentral:rRNA from 1 species